CCAUACUUAGCUCAUCUCUUUUUUUGGCGAGAUUCGUAGCCUCUAGAUCAGGGCAAUGACCUAAGCUGGGUGUCCCUGGAGAUCAGGAAAGCUUUUGAUUUGGUGGCUUCUUCCAUUCCAUGGGCAAGGUGGAGAAAGAGGGUCUGGAUGACAAGGCAGCCCCAUGGCUUCAGGAGGAAUGACUGAGCAGACUUAGAAAGUAGUCAGGCAUGGAUAAAUGUCAGCUUCAAGUUGUUCCGUAAUGGGCUGCCCGGGGGGAUCUUGCUGUGGUCCUGUUUGACAUUCCAGCAUGGCUUGGAUAGAAGACUUAUAUUCCGACUCGCAUACCCUUGGCCAAAUCAUCCGAGUUGGCCUGGCUUCUCUGGUUCUGGUUGCUAUGGGGAUUUUGAUGGCCGAGGACUGGUACACCAAGAAAGAUACACCGAGGGAUGCAGGGGACAUCUUGUUUGAGAAGCCAAGUUAUUCAGAUAUCAAGGCCAAGCUCCGCUUCUAUUAGUAUGGCAGCUCUUAAGAAACAUGUCCACCAUCUCCUGGCAUGACAGGAACACAUGUAAGGCCUGGAAGCCAUCACUGCCUUUCUUGAUGGCAUUCUGUAACCCCUCUCCUCCUAGGUCAUAAAUAUCUCAUUGAAGCUU